rnacentral:snRNA from 1 species
GGACAAGGGGAAUCCGACUGU